rnacentral:ncRNA from 2 species
ACUACGAGUGCUAGCCUUCGAAGCGCGUAUCCGCAGCGAAGCCGGUGGGAAUCCGGCGCUGUCCCGCAACUGUGACGUCCUGUCCCGACCUACCCGCAGCUUGGGAGGCCAGGGAUCGGCGGAGUCAGGUCGCCUGCGGAGCGCCGACGAUAUAG